rnacentral:rRNA from 1 species
GUCCACGCCGUAAACGAUGGGCACUAGGUGUGGGAGGUGUCGACUCCUCCCGUGCCGGCGCUAACGCAUUAAGUGCCCCGCCUGGGGAGUACGGCCGCAAGGCUAAAACUCAAAGGAAUUGACGGGGGCCCGCACAAGCAGCGGAGCAUGUGGUUUAAUUCGAUGCAACGCGAAGAACCUUACCUGGGCUUGACAUGUAACUGACAGCCGUGGAAACACGGUCUUCCUUCGGGACAGUUACACAGGUGGUGCAUGGCUGUCGU